UGCGACCUAAUAUUUUUAAAUAAAUAUAAAAAACUAAAAAUAAACAUCGUAUAAAAUGUAAGAUAUUUAUUUCACACCAGUGUAAAAGAAAAAUUGUUAUAGUUUAUGAAAUUGAAAGGUCUGUAAGGGUGAGACCGAAUUGACCGUUACAAUCAAUGAUCUGGAUGCUCAACAAACUGGUAUUAGAAGAAAGCUAAGGAUGCUAUUCUUCGUUGAAGUAUGGAAAUCGAUCACCGGAAAGCAGGAAACUAUGAAAGUUCCCCAGCUCAGUUCUACAGUAGAUACUAAGCAACGGACUCCUACAAUAAAGAAACAGCAUGCAGCAAACCGAAACUUCUCGCCUGUAGCGGCUCAGCCCUAUUGCCGUACUGUUUCUUUCAACAAACG